UACGUAGGGGGCUAGCGUUGUCCGGAAUCAUUGGGCGUAAAGCGCGCGUAGGCGGCCCGGUAAGUCCGCUGUAAAAGUCCAGGGCUCAACCCUGGAAAGCCGGUGGAUACUGUCGGGCUCGAGUCCGGAAGAGGCGAGUGGAAUUCCUGGUGUAGCGGUGGAAUGCGCAGAUAUCAGGAGGAACACCGAUAGCGAAGGCAGCUCGCUGGGACGUAACUGACGCUGAGACGCGAAAGCGUGGGGAGCAAACAGG
rnacentral:rRNA from 1 species